GCCGGGGUAGCCCAAUCGGUAGAGGCACCAGGUCGAGAACCUGGAGGGUACGGGUUCGACUCCCGUCUCCGGCAC
rnacentral:tRNA from 1 species